GCGGCUUGGUCAUCUCCACCGCUCUGGAACAGCUAAUGGUCCACGAGGCGCGCGCAAAGGUCUCCAGCAGUAAACUAAACAAGCAGAUGCAAGUUCCAUUCUGGACCCGCAGGUGCGCAGCUUGAUUCUGCCGGGAAGGAACCCAGAGUAGGAGCAAACACGCCGCUUUCGCAGAGCAGCUCUGAAGUAGCCUGCAUCGAGCCUCGGUUUUCCAGCAGCCUCAUCUGCUAGUCGGGGGCUGGUAGAACUGGGUUUCGCUGCUCCAGUCUCUCCUGGCUCAGGCCUUGCACUUUCGGUGUUUCAUGAACACUGGGCAGUGCGUUGAAUGGUUCGAAAUUAAAGUCAAACAAACGAUCUCUUUUCUUUUAAAA
rnacentral:lncRNA from 1 species